CUCCUACGGGAGGCAGCAGUGGGGAAUAGUUGCGCAAUGGGCGAAAGCCUGACGCAGCGACGCCGCGUGUGGGAUGACGGCCUUCGGGUUGUAAACCACUAGUCGCGAGGGACGAAAAAAAUGAACGGUACCUCGAAAGGAAGCACCGGCUAACUCUGUGCCAGCAGCCGCGGUAAUAC
rnacentral:rRNA from 1 species